UAGAGACAGAGUCGAGACACGG
rnacentral:piRNA from 1 species